rnacentral:rRNA from 1 species
CCCUUAGAUGUCCGGGGCUGCACGCGCGCUACACUGAAGGAAUCAGCGUGCUAAAACCAUUGUCGAAAGGCAUUGGUAAACCCAUUAAAAUCCUACGUGAUUGGGAUCGGGAAUUGCAAUUAUUUCCCUUGAACGAGGAAUUCCCAGUAAGUGUGGGUCAUAAGCUCGCGUUGAUUACGUCCCUGCCCUUUGUACACACCGCCCGUCGCUGCCCGGGACUGAGCCGUUUCGAGAAAAGCGGGGACUGCUGCUGUCGGAGCUUUCGGGCCUUGGCUUCGGUGGAAACCGCUUUAAUCGCAGUGGCUUGAACCGGGCAAAAGUCGUAACA